rnacentral:rRNA from 1 species
CAGCCGCCGCGGGAAUACGAAGGGUGCAAGCGUUACUCGGAAUUACUGGGCGUAAAGCGUGCGUAGGUGGUGGUUUAAGUCCGUUGUGAAAGCCCUGGGCUCAACCUGGGAAUUGCAGUGGAUACUGGGUCACUAGAGUGUGGUAGAGGAUAGUGGAAUUUCCGGUGUAGCAGUGAAAUGCGUAGAGAUCGGAAGGAACAUCUGUGGCGAAGGCGACUAUCUGGGCCAUUACUGACACUGAGGCACGAAAGCGUGGGGAGCAAACAGGAUUAGAUACCCCUGUAGUCCCUGUCUCUUAUAC